rnacentral:rRNA from 1 species
GAUGAACGCUAGCGGGAGGCCUAACACAUGCAAGCCGAGCGGUAGAGAUUCUUCGGAAUCUUGAGAGCGGCGUACGGGUGCGGAACACGUGUGCAACCUGCCUUUAUCAGGGGGAUAGCCUUUCGAAAGGAAGAUUAAUACCCCAUAAUAUAUUUGAUGGCAUCAUUAGAUAUUGAAAGCUUUGGCGGAUAGAGAUGGGCACGCGCGAGAUUAGAUAGUUGGUGAGGUAACGGCUCACCAAGUCGAUGAUCUUUAGGGGGCCUGAGAGGGUGAUCCCCCACACUGGUACUGAGACACGGACCAGACUCCUACGGGAGGCAGCAGUGAGGAAUAUUGGACAAUGGGUUAGCGCCUGAUCCAGCCAUCCCGCGUGAAGGACGACGGCCCUAUGGGUUGUAAACUUCUUUUGUACAGGGAUAAACCUACUCUCGUGAGAGUAGCUGAAGGUACUGUACGAAUAAGCACCGGCUAACUCCGUG